rnacentral:tRNA from 1 species
GGAGUGGUAUCGAAGUGGUCAUAACGAGACUGACUCGAAAUCAGUUGAACCUCAGGGUUCCGUGGGUUCGAAUCCCACCCACUCCG